GAGGAGAGGCCAGGGCAGGCCGGGGGCCGCGGUCGGUGGGCCGGGCCGGCGCUAGUCGGGGCGCGGCGGCGGCUCCUGCCCUCCGCGCGAGCGCAGGUCGGGGAGGGCCUGGCCGAGGCGCCGCCGCGCGGGGCGAGGCCGCAUCCGCGGCAGCCGCGGGCCUCAGUGGCGGCGGGCGGGGGCCCCGCCGGCGGCGCCGCCGCUCUGCAUCCCGAGCCCUCUCGCACCCCCGCGCCGCGCCGCGCCGGCCGCCCUAGGCCGCGGCCUCUCCGGCGCCUGGCAGCCGCCUCGGCAGCGCGUCCCCGGCGAAGGGAAGGGGCUCCCCUGGGGCCGAAGCCGGCCGCCUCCGCCCGCCCCGGCGGCAGCAGCGGGCGAGGGCCCGCGGCGGGGGUGGGGGAGCCGCUCAGAGCCGCGCCGCGGCCGCCGCUGCUGACAUCAGAGCCGCUUCCUGCCGCCCCGGCCUGGGGACGCGGAGGAGGGAGCGCAGGGGGAGGGGGCGGGAAGUGGAAACGCGCCGGCAGCCGCUGCUACUCAGGCGGCCGCGGAGGGGCCACGGCCUGGCGGCGGCACCGCCGCUCCGCCCCCCGCUCCGCCGCCCGGCUCCGCCAGGGGGAGCUUCGCCGGCCCCGCUUCCUCUUCCUGUAGCACUGGCGCCGGGAGGGGUGGGCACGGGUGGGGUGUCCCGGUUCCCGUCGUGGUGCCGGCAGCGAGAAAUGCGGGGUGUCUGCGGGACGCGGCGGGGUGGGGACCGAGGGAGGCGUCGCCAUCUUAGCCGUAGGGCAGCGAGAGGCGACCCUUGGCGGGCGGUAGUGCCCUGGGGCUUUACGGAGGCCGGCGGGCGCACAGGAAGGAGGUAUGCACAUGGUGGACAUGCAUCCUGGGACUUGUUUUCUCUGAAGACAGAGGCGCAGUGCAGCACCCGUGCUGUAAAGCAGCGCUUACUCACGAAAACUCAUGAGUUGGGAGAAGAGGAGGGAGUUUUCACAGGAUUUGCUGUGGAUACCACAACUUAUCUUUGCUGGAGGAAAAGUGAGCUACAUAGCUACAAGAAGGAAAUGGGAGCGCAUGUAUAG
rnacentral:lncRNA from 1 species